AUUGAACGCUGGCGGCAUGCCUUACACAUGCAAGUCGAACGGCAGCGGGGACUUCGGUCCGCCGGCGAGUGGCGAACGGGUGAGUAAUGUAUCGGAACGUACCUUUCAGUGGGGGAUAACGUAGCGAGAGUUACGCUAAUACCGCAUAUUCUGUGAGCAGGAAAGCAGGGGAUCGCAAGACCUUGCGCUGAUUGAGCGGCCGAUAUCAGAUUAGCUAGUUGGUGAGGUAAAGGCUCACCAAGGCGACGAUCUGUAGCGGGUCUGAGAGGAUGAUCGGCCAAACUGGAACUGAGACACGGUCCAGACUCCUACGGGAGGCAGCAGUGGGGAAUUUUGGACAAUGGGGGCAACCCUGAUCCAGCCAUGCCGCGUGAGUGAAGAAGGCCUUCGGGUUGUAAAGCUCUUUCGGCCGGGAAGAAAUCGUAUGGGCUAAUACCCUGUGCGGAUGACGGUACCGGCAUAAGAAGCACCGGCUAACUACGUGCCAGCCGCCGCAGUAAUAC
rnacentral:rRNA from 1 species